rnacentral:rRNA from 1 species
UACGUAGGGUGCGAGCGUUGUCCGGAAUUAUUGGGCGUAAAGGGCUCGUAGGCGGUCUGUUGCGUCAGGAGUGAAAACUCGGGGCUUAACCCCGAGCCUGCUUCUGAUACGGGCAGACUAGAGGUAUGCAGGGGAGAACGGAAUUCCUGGUGUAGCGGUGAAAUGCGCAGAUAUCAGGAGGAACACCGGUGGCGAAGGCGGUUCUCUGGGCAGUAACUGACGCUGAGGAGCGAAAGCGUGGGGAGCGAACAUG